rnacentral:rRNA from 1 species
UACGGAGGAUGCAAGCGUUAUCCGGAAUGAUUGGGCGUAAAGCGUCCGCAGGUGGCUAUGUAAGUCGGGUGUGAAAGCCCCGGGCUCAACCUGGGAAUUGCAUUCGAGACUGCGUAGCUAGGGUGCGGAAGAGGGAAGCGGAAUUUCCGGUGUAGCGGUGAAAUGCGUAGAUAUCGGAAGGAACACCAGUGGCGAAAGCGGCUUCCUGGUCCAGCACCGACGUUCAGGCACGAAAGCGUGGGGAGCAAACAGG